CGUCGGUUUCGCGGCACGGGCUGGAGCUGCUAUUGGGCGCGCGAUCUGCGCUUGAACAGAGGAAGGAAAAGCCCGCGAAAGGCGCCGAUUAACGGCCGGCGGUGGCGGCAAGGCGAUGAGCGAGCAGGAGGCGCUGCCCAGGCUGGCAUUGCCAAAACAGCCCUACAGAAGUAGAUUCUACAGAGACAAUGCAUUUGGAAGGCUGACAGGAAAACCAAUGAACGUCAUCUCGCAGAAAAAUGCAAACGCAUCAACUAUUGUUAAUAACUUCCUGGCUGGACUAGGUGAAUUUAAAUACUCAGAUUAAAUGCAAUAGAUUAAACUAUAUGAAUGGUACCACUGAAUGGUUGAACAAAACUGAUUUUUCAAUGAAAAGUAUGAUUUCAGCUGCAUCUGACAGAUCAGGAAGGAAAAUUAAGUGAAAGUUA